rnacentral:rRNA from 1 species
UACAGAGGUGGCAAGCGUUGUUCGGAAUUACUGGGCGUAAAGGGCGCGUAGGCGGCCCCCUCAGUCAGACGUGAAAUCCCCAGGCUUAACUUGGGAACUGCGUCUGAUACUGGAGGGCUUGAGUGCGGGAGAGGGAUGUGGAAUUCCAGGUGUAGCGGUGAAAUGCGUAGAUAUCUGGAGGAACACCGGUGGCGAAGGCGGCAUCCUGGACCGACACUGACGCUGAGGCGCGAAAGCUAGGGGAGCAAACGGG